rnacentral:SRP_RNA from 1 species
GGCCGGACUAGGUCGGGCAGUUAGGCCCUGCCCACUCUCCCGUGAGGUAGUCUUGAGCGGGGACCGAACGCCGGCGGCGUCCGGGGCGCCUCUCGCGGGCCCCGGGAGCCGACGUGGAAACCUCGUCCGGCGGGGACAGCGGACCGCGGCGGCACACCCGCAGGGGUGUGUGCCCGUGGUUCGUCGGAGCUACCGGGUCAGGCGCGGAAGCGAGCAGCCCACCUCCGGACGCCCGUCGCUCGUCGGGUCGCGGGGCGGAGGAGGCAACCGGGACUCCCCACGGGGGAACCCCCGGGCAACACCGGUCGUCCACUC